AUGAUUCCACCUUGUCACGUCUUCUUCUUCAAAGUCAUGUCGUUGACAAACUUGCUCAAGCUUCCAUCACAUUACAAACUUCCUUGUGAUAAUCCAAAACAUGCGUUAAAUCUAAACAGAAAAAACAGUUAUCUACACAAUGUCAAGCAUAAUACAAUUCACCAAUUAACGAGUGCAAUGCUGCACACAAAACCUUGCACCAGCUCAGCCCUACACAUAACAAAUGAGCUAGCCUUGCUUUUCACUAACCGAAAACAGUUUGUAAAAAACCAGUUCAAACCAUGUGAUUAA